GCUGCUUUGGCACAGUGGUUAGCGCGACGCCUUUACAAAAGGGAAAUCACCCUUCCAAGUGUUCCGGCGUAGGUCACAGGUUCGAACCCUGUAAGCAGCU
rnacentral:tRNA from 1 species